GGUAUUUAAAAAUAUAAAUGUAUAUCUGAACUAAUUAAGGUAUUUUUUUUAGGAAUACGAAGCCAUCUACUUAGCAAAAUUAACAAUACAGAUGAUGUCACCACUCCAGAUAGAAAGGUCCUUAUCUGUUCAUUCUGGUACCACAGGUAGUUUGAAGAGAACACAUGAGGAAGAGGAUGAUUUUGGAAACAUGCAAGUGGCAGCAGCACAGAAUGGCUGACCUCUGAGGACUGAUCCACGGAUGUGAAUUUCUUUUUGGAAAGGAGAGAAUCCUAGUGAUAAUUGUAAAGUGGUAAAAACACAAAUAGUUUCUUUUCAAUUAUAUGUUGCUUCCAGA